UCUUGAGAACUCACUUAAAGUUCCUAUUUCUUCAGUCUGUGCAAUGUAUUUUCAGCAUUCAGUUUUAUAAGCUUCAAUCGCAUUUUAUUCUUACUCUUCCCUUCUCAAGCAUCCUAAUAUAUUCUCCAGAAAGUCAGUUCUUCCCUAGUUUCAACAGCUUUCCAUCAACCAUUUAUGAGCUUCUUUAAAAAAAAAUACACAAUGUUAUAUGUGUAUAGAUAUACAUCACAUAACUGUAUAUAUAUAAUAGUAUACCUACUAUAUGUGUUCAUAUAUAUAAACACCAAUAUAUAACAGUAUUACAAUAUUUCUGAUUUUAUUUUCUUUCCUAUUAUAACCUAAGGUAUUUUUAUGCACAUAUAUUAGCUUUGUUAAAUGCUAAUCUCUUGCAUUUGUUAAACAGAUUUUCACUGAUUUCUCUAUGACAGCAACUGAUCUGAAGAGUGACAACUGAUUCAUUCUGUAAUGUGCUCGCUGAAUAUGUAGCCUAAAGAUUCUUUUCUAUUGUAUACAGCCUUGGAAGAAAUAACCUUCUAGCAGUCGUGAGAGACAAAAUGAUCGAGCCAGUCAUGAUCCUGCACCUCACUGUUUGGCAGGCAGGAAAAGCAAAUCAUUGGGAAGACGGAUGAAAUGAAGGAGCAUCUACUGAAUUUCCUUUUGCAUUAAAAACCCCAAAACUGUCUCCAGUGAGGCUCCUGCUCAUUACUGCUCCCUGAAGCAACCUGUCUUUCCAUGCUAAUGAAGAGAAUUUAGGAAGAAGAAACAGGUUAAUGUUAAUCUCUGUUGUCAUGUUCUAUUUUUGACACAAAUGUGAUAAUUUUACCAGGCAUCAGUCAAGGACUUUGCACUGAAAGGACACUAUUAGUAUCUUCUCACAGGCUAGAAUCUCAUAUAGCCUAUCUGCAGACACCAUAUUGAAAGAAGGAAUAAUUUACCAGAAUGAAUUUGGGACAGAGCAUGACUAGGAGAUAAACUAGGAGGCAACAACAGUUACUUGUGUUGGCAAAAUGAAGGUUGGGAUGGGUUAUGACAAUAUUUCAUAAAUGUAUUUGGGGGGAAUAAAUUAAGUGAAGAGAACAUUUCAAGUUAAAAGGUAAUACAAGAUCAGGUCCAGGAAUAAAUUUACUCUGAAAACAUGCUUGAACUUUUGAGUUCUUAGACCUGGCUUUCUGUGCUCGGCAGUGGUGCGAGCAACCUAAACUCUUUUAAGAUGAAGCCUGAUGAUUUCAUUUCUGUGCCAGGACAAAAACGAUCCUUGAAUUAUAAACUCAAUGCUGGAUCUCUGGUUAUGGAUUUCUGGCUGAUUGCGCUGAUUUACCCCCACGGAGGGGACACAGAGCAGAGAUGCUAAGGACCAGGUGACCACACUGCUCUGUGUCAGCCUGGAGAAGAGGAGGCUAAG